UACGAAGGGGGCUAGCGUUGCUCGGAAUUACUGGGCGUAAAGGGAGCGUAGGCGGAUAGUUUAGUCAGAGGUGAAAGCCCAGGGCUCAACCCUGGAAUUGCCUUUGAUACUGGCUAUCUUGAGUAUGGGAGAGGUUAGCGGAACUCUGAGUGUAGAGGUGAAAUUCGUAGAUAUUCGGAAGAACACCAGUGGCGAAGGCGGCUAACUGGCCCAUUACUGACGCUGAGGCUCGGAAAGCGUGGGGAGCAAACAGGG
rnacentral:rRNA from 1 species